AAACUAAUCCUUUGAUCCAUUUUCUGCAUAAUAUAACAUGUUUUCAGUGUGAAUCAAUCAAAUGUUUUCAGGUUAUGAUAGUUUUGCUUCACCUGCUGCACCUAACUUCUGCACACCUGGAGUGAAAAUUCCCCACAGAAAGACCACUGUUUUAUCAGAGUCUCCAGAAAGUAAACAUUUGGAUGUUCCUAAACACACAACAGAAUUACCUCCACUUGAUACAAAAUCUCAGGAAAUACAACCUCUGCAUGUAAGUGCUCCUAAGAUACUGCCAGAUAAUAAUCUUAUAAAAGACAGUGUUCAACCUGUCCUGGGUUCAGACAAAUAUCUGGAAUGUACUGAAGAACCUCCUCCUCCAGCAAUGCCAGUAUAUGAGGACCUCUUCAGUUCACUAUUACCACCGCCUGAAAUAACUGUGAUUCCAAACAACCUCUUGCAGGUUUGAUGUACAAAAUUAAUUUGCACUAAAGUUAGCAUUUUAUUAGCAAAAUUGGAAACGUCCUUUUUUCAAACAUUCUUCUUGUUUAAACUUACUUAGAUUUUAUCCCGGUACAAUCCAAAUAUAAAAGUACCCAGGUCAGCUGCGAAAGGAACUAAAGAAGAAAAUGCUUCACAAUUUGAAGAAAAGCUAUUUCUUUGUACUGAUAACAAAGA
rnacentral:lncRNA from 1 species